GACGAACGCUGGCGGCGUGCUUAACACAUGCAAGUCGAACGGAAAGGCCCUGCUUUUGUGGGGUGCUCGAGUGGCGAACGGGUGAGUAACACGUGAGUAACCUGCCCUUGACUUUGGGAUAACUUCAGGAAACUGGGGCUAAUACCGGAUAGGAGCUCCUGCUGCAUGGUGGGGGUUGGAAAGUUUCGGCGGUUGGGGAUGAACUCGCGGCUUAUCAGCUUGUUGGUGGGGUAGUGGCUUACCAAGGCUUUGACGGGUAGCCGGCCUGAGAGGGUGACCGGCCACAUUGGGACUGAGAUACGGCCCAGACUCCUACGGGAGGCAGCAGUGGGGAAUAUUGCACAAUGGGCGGAAGCCUGAUGCAGCAACGCCGCGUGCGGGAUGACGGCCUUCGGGUUGUAAACCGCUUUCGCCUGUGACGAAGCGUGAGUGACGGUAACGGGUAAAGAAGCACCGGCUAACUACGUG
rnacentral:rRNA from 1 species